rnacentral:rRNA from 1 species
AACGAACGCUGGCGGCAUGCCUAACACAUGCAAGUCGAACGAGACCUUCGGGUCUAGUGGCGCACGGGUGCGUAACGCGUGGGAACCUGCCCUUAGGUUCGGAAUAACUCCCCGAAAGGGGUGCUAAUACCGGAUAAUGUCUUCGGACCAAAGAUUUAUCGCCUUUGGAUGGGCCCGCGUUGGCUUAGCUAGUUGGUAGGGUAAAAGCCUACCAAGGCGACGAUCCAUAGCUGGUCUGAGAGGAUGAUCAGCCACACUGGGACUGAGACACGGCCCAGACUCCUACGGGAGGCAGCAGUGGGGAAUAUUGGACGAUGGGCGAAAGCCUGAUCCAGCAAUGCCGCGUGAGUGAUGAAGGCCUUAGGGUUGUAAAGCUCUUUUACCCGGGAUGAUAAUGACAGUACCGGGAGAAUAAGCACCGGCUAACUCCGUG